rnacentral:rRNA from 1 species
ACCCUCCAAGGCUAAAUACUACCUAGUGACCGAUAGCGUAUAGUACCGUGAGGGAAAGGUGAAAAGAACCCCGGGAGGGGAGUGAAAUAGAACCUGAAACCCUGCACUUACAAGCUGUGGAAGCACAUUUCUUGUGUGACCGCGUACUUUUUGUAGAACGGGCCAACGAGUUACGUUAAGUAGCAAGGUUAAGCACUUAAGGUG